AUGAANAGGUGGAAUUCGCACAUAUUGAGUUGUACUCUUACUUUUUGUUAUUUGAUUCCUCGAAAAUUAAUUGGAAGACCGGGAUUAGAUACCCCGUUAUUUUUUUUAUAAAUUUUGAUUGUUGAAUGAUUUACCUGAGUAUUACGGGUUAAGAUAUUUUGUAGCUUGUAUGGUUUAUAAAUUAUCUGGGUACUUAAAACUCAAAAAACUUGGCGGUGCCUUAUUUCCUCCCAGGGGAACCUGUCCUGUAAUCGAUGAUCCGCGAUUUAUCUUACUUUUUUUUGAAUGCCAUUAAAAGGACUAUCAGUUUGUAUACCGUCGUCGUCAGAUUACCUUUAAGAGUAAAGAAGUUGUCGGUUGAAUUAGGGAAUUUGUUUAUUUAUUUUUAAAUUAUUUACAAAGUCAAUUUUUGAUGUCAGAUCAAGGUGCAGCUAAUAGAAAAGUAGAGAUGGGUUACAAUGUAAAUUUUAUAUUAUGGAUAUUAACUUGUAAGAGUUAAGUGAAAGUGGACUUGGAAGUAAUUUUACUUUAUAUAUAAAUUAGAAAGUUUGUGUGAAUAAAGGUACUAAGGUGCGC
rnacentral:rRNA from 1 species